rnacentral:tRNA from 1 species
GCUGGCGUGGCUCAACGGUAGAGCAGCUGAUUUGUAAUCAGCUAGUUGGGGGUUCGAUUCCUCUCGCCAGCUCCA